UGUCAAGUUUCAGUUUAGUAUGGAUACCAAAAUACAAAAAUGAUCGAAAAUGGUCAUCAGACCUGGGAAUAGCCCAUGUCAUGGAUGACCAGCCACAGGUUCAUAUAUGAUUUCGAUCAAAAUACGUCAACCAUUGCGACCGAACUGACUACACUCAACUACUGAGAGAGCCAACACUGGUGCAUUAACUGAAGAGUCUGCAAUUUCAGUGGGCCACACAUCUCUAGGAACAUCAUUGAAAAUUCCAACAAACUAGUUUUCGGUUCAUAUAUGAUUUGGAUCAAAAUACCUUAACUAUUGCGACCGAACUAACUACACUCACUCAACUACUGAAAGAGCCAAUACUGCUGCAUUAACUGAAGAGUUUGCAAUUUCAGCGGGCCAUUUCAACAAACUAGUUUCUCAGGUUCUGAUUACCAUGAAAAGGGGUCAUUUCUACAAGUUCACUUCAAAGUUACAAAUUGAAAAUCGCUGUACAUUAAAAGGUACGAAAAAGAAGGCACUAGGGUACUAUUGCUAUUACUUCACCUUGGCGGUUGUCAAGCAAUUCAGGAUACCUGUGAGGCAAACUCUUUGCAUCAGAAUCUGACUUUCUCAGCUCAUCACUGAAAUGAUAAAAACUAUUGAUUCUCAGCUAAUUAAAAAUGUAAAAAUAAUUCAUGGUUUUAAGUAGCUUAUUCCAAAAUCAUUGUAGAAGUAUGUCGACCAAGGCAACAAAAAAGUUAGAUAUAAAGUGAAAUUGAAGAAUCCUUUGGACUUCUGUACUGGUUAAUUUUCCACCUCCAUCGUUAAUCAGAUCUUAAGGUUUUUAACGGCUUAUGAAAAAUUAAGUGUUCGGUGAUCAAUGCCUUUAUUUCUAAAGGAAAUUCUAAGCUAGUGAGAGUAUCAGUACGAUUAGGAGUAGGAAAGCAUUGAAUGAGGAAAUGCUCUUGUAUAUUUCUUCAUGUUGUCACGUAAAGAGACAGAACGGAAAGGAUAAUACAAUUGGAAAAUGCUACAUGCUUAAGUGGCAUAAAUGUAGAAAUAAACUACAAUCAUGCUAAUGGAAAAUCAUACUGUUCAAGACACAUAUCCAAAUGUAUAUAGGUAAAAUUGCUUAUGAAAAACAAUGGGUGACUUCAAAUGAGACAUAAUAUGGUGGUGCGGCAGAUCCAGAUACUAUGUGGUGGGACAUAGUCGGUGCACAAGGGGAAUGGAUGGUGACAAACACAAGAGGAAAGAAAUGGAGCGCGGCUGACCAAGAUAUAUGGAAGUAAGGAAAGGAUAUGGAAAAUAAAAAGCAGCCAACCUCAAAGCACGAUGACAGGAGUGAUGAAAGCAGCUGAGGGAAACAUACAGAAGAAAAAGAAAUGUGGUCUUCUCUCUGGCAUAGGUAGUUGAAGAAGAAUAUAUAUAGGGGGCAAUCGAUAAGUCUGGGUGGACUAGGCAAAGCAAUGCUAUAAUCAGCAUGCACGACAGGGAGAGACAUAUCAGAAAUGAUUUUGUGGCACCUCAACUGAUGCACAUGGGGAGUGGAUGGUAACAAAACACUACAAGAAAUAUGUCAACUUUUGACCAUCACUAUUGGUCAUUGAAUGGUCAUUGUUUUCCAUUUGUGACCUUUUUGUGACCAAAAACAGAUGGUCAAAAGUUGACUGUCUUAAACUGAAAUUAGCGGCCUUUCUUCUCAAAUGGGAAAGGUCGUUGGUUCUACGACCUUUUGUUUUAGUCGUUGGUUGUCUGCCUAGGCCACGUUUGAUCCGACGUGGCAAAUUCGCGACCAAAUGAAAAGGUCGUUGCCUAGAAUCAGCCCGGUCCAAUGGGUGUCUAUAUGGGCCAAGCCCAUUAAUUCAGCUUAUUUGUUGUUUUUUCUUUCUUUCAAUUUGGGUCAACUACAUAGGCCAAGCCUAACAGACUUUUAUUUUUUGGGCCACAAUCUUUUACAGUCCUUAUUUUUUUAGGCCUCAGCCUUUUUCCAGCCCACUUGUUAGUUUUCUUUUGUUUAUUUUCCAUUUUAAAGUAGGUCCCAAUAGUCAAAUGGGAACCAAUUACCAGAAUUGUUGUUUGGGUACCACACACCAGUUCUAUAUUUGUGCAAUUAUACAAUUUGAUUAAAAAAGAGCCAAUAAGGCAUACUAUUUCAUACAACAGCCAAGCAAAGUACAUUACAAUCAUACAUAGUACAGAUCUGGUAUUCAACUAUAAAAUAAAACUAAAUAUACACAUAACUAGCUCCAGUGAGCUAAAACGCAUUGCUCGGUGUGGUUUUUCUUCGGGAUUCUUCUUCCUAGAGCUCCUGUGCACCCAACUAUCGAAGAAUGAAGGCCAGCAUAUGCAAAUAAUAAAUUAUGGAAAGUUAGAAACAUAAUAAAGUGACAAGGUCAAGAUAGGCACAAGCAGCACAUGAAAGGAAGGACAUAAAUAUUAAUCUAACCUUGUUAUCUCUCAUUGGAUCCAACGAGCAAACAGGAUAAUGCGCUUGAACAUAUGCAAAUAUCUAAAUACUAUGUCAUAGCAAAAAAAUGACUAGUCGUUCACUGCCAAUCAAUUUCGGCAUGGGGAACGAUCACCAAUGAUCUACAGAAAAUUCGGAUUGCAUGUGUACAUGUCCAUGCAGUUAAACUGAAUUGAGACAAAGAGUCAACAUCAAUUCAGAUUCAUCUCCCUGAAGGAACUCAGAACAAGAACAACUGCUCAAUUUCAGAAGUUUCAACAUAGGAACAGAACCAAAUUGGACACCUUUAACAGGAAGAACAGAAGAGAGGUAAACACAUACCCGCAUUGUUAUAUAUAGUUGUGCUAGGGAAUUUUAAAAACAUCAUCAAAUGCAAAUAGGAAGAACACCAAGAUUGAAUUCUGUACGAAGAUAAACUACAACCAAAGGAAGGGUAACAGAUGAAGAAAAAAUCCUGACAUACAAAGGUAAGCUCAUUGUGCAUUUUCUUUUUCAAUGUGAUACACAAUAAGCAUAAGUAACCACCAAAAUCUCUCAAUACCAGUCAUUAACUAGACACGUUCCAACAUAAAGGAAAAACAAUUAUAGAGGUGUGACUUCAUGUACAAAUAUAGCAAGGCCAUAGCAGCCACGCAGUCACUUAACUACUACGAUUCUUCCUACUGCUGGCAUCCUUAGAAGUGAAAGCUUCUGCUAACCAGUCUAUUACUUCAUAAUGUCAUGGCAUGUCAACAUAUUCAGUAAAAUAAAUAUAGUAGUAGGUAUGUAGGACAACAUCAUGCAUUGCCCUUAUCACGCAAGAAGAGGCUCCCAAUCUAUCUACCAGCAGGAAUCUUAAAACACAUCCAUCAUUUCUUUUCAUUAUCUUAGCCAAGUUAAUACUUGCUCACUUAGCUAUUGCAUACACACAAGUCAAAAUAAUACAGCACAACAACUAAACGACCUCAGGCAUUGUGGAUUCCGAGUCCAGCGACGACUGAACAGGCAAGUUUCGUAUAUACCGAGGUUCUUGUCGAGGGUGUGGGUGAACUGGUGGAGCACCGGGGGCACCUUGAGGCGCUGCUUGAGGAUGCGGCGCUGGAUGCGCAUGACCUUGGGCCACUUGACGAACCGGUGGAGGCCCUUCUUGGGCGGCAGGGCGCCACCGAUGCCGAACUACUUCGGCCUCUUCAGGAACAGCGGGUUCACCACCUUGUCCUGCAACCACACACCAACGCAACCCAGUCAGAUCACACGCGCCAGGAUCGGGAGAUUCCAAGCAGGUGUUAUUUCUGCCAUUUAUUAAUUACGCAUGCAACACUUAUAAUACCAAUAUAGUCAAUUCCCACAAGCUAAUUGAUUAAUAUAACAUUGUCAUAGAUCUAGCAUGAAAGAGUCAAAACUUGUCUCACAUAUCACGAGUACACUUAUAGCAAGCGUAAAUGCAAAAGGCAAUCUUCCGAUGUGGCAUAACUUGUACAAGUAGAAAGCAUGUUCAAUAGAGCUCAUGCAGUCCUAUGUGACGACCAUCCAGAAUGUAUAUUUAACGCAAUUUUGGUGCAUAAAAUACAAAGCGCAAGCUCAAUAGGUAUAUAUAAUAACAUUUCUUACAACGGAUAUGUAAACUUGUCUUACAAGGACACUAGGAGCACGACGACCGCCAGGAUGAACCAAAACAAAAUGGAACUAAUCCAGCACAUGAUGAUGACACUACAAAUCUAAGCUAUUUAGUACUCAAACAACAUAUGUUUACAAGCGUAUAGCUGCGGCAUCACUAGAUCAACGGCUCUAGGUGAUCAAUUACCAUCUGUGCUGUUUUACAACACAUCUGCAGACAUUUUUACAAGCAGAAGAUCGCAAAUAUAAAGGCCACAAACAGAUACAUGAUAAUACAAGUAAUCAGAAUACAACAUGAAAAAUUGUAGUACCCCCAUAGCAUUGCAGGAUAGAAAGCACAUAAUACUGGUAGGCACACUAUAUAAGCAAGGGAAACAAACAAUAUAUUAUAUGAUAAAAAGUGAAUAUAUAUCCUGCCUUCGUAGGGCGACUGCGCGGGGCCAAGGGCCAUGACAUUGAAGUAACACAUGUUCUCCUCCGACGGCGAGGUGCUGAUCCCCGGCGCUGCACGCAUAGACGGACCGAGAAACAGGAAUCAGAAACAACAUCCUCAACUACGAAAUCACAGGUUUAAAAAGUGUUGCAGCAAGCUGAACCAUUUUAUGUCAUAUUAACAGGUCAUGGUUAACAAACUUAUGGCAGACACACAAAUAUAUUCCUACUGCGAAAACACAACUUCGGUGACCAAUUUGUAUGGCAAUCACUCCUAUGCAACUAAAUUCUGCUGCAAAAGCUGCAAAGACAGUAGAUCAGAUCAUCAUAUGGCAAAUCCUAAGCGAUCUUUGCUUUUAUUCAGCUAAAAUCCUAGUGUACCGAGGCUGCAAUGUCACUGGGUUACACCAUCAUACAACAUACUCAUUGAAUUCAAACAAUCAUUUUUUCUUAUUCAGCUAACCGUGACAAGUUGCAGCAAGAUGAACCAUUUUGAUCUCAUUAACAUCAAGUCAUGUGCGAAACCUUGCAUCGGUCACUUAGAAGCAACUAAACACUAAUAGUGAUCGAUGAAUCUGCAGCAAAAUGAUGAAUUUCAUGCACACAGCAGCUCGGCGCCCCAGGUAAUGGCAAACGACAGGCCAGAUCACGACCCAGCAAGGCAGAUCUACGACCUGGACCAACCAACCCCACCAUGAUCGCGUGGCUAGAUCUAGCAGUACCAACCACCAUACACGACCAGAUCUGAGCAACAGAAACGAGGGGAGGAAGCGCAUGUACCGGCGCCACUCGCGGAGGAGGAAGCCCUCGUCGGCCCCCAUCUGGGCGGGGUUGGGGAGGACAUGUCCGGAGUCGGUGAAGAGGCAUGAUGUUGUGGGAAGGGCGCGGCGGUCGUUGCCGUUGGAGUGGCAUGCCGAAGGGGUGCAUGGCGGCGGAGUCGUGGCUGAAGGCGUAGGGGUCAAGGGAGGCCGGGAAGUCGUGGCCGCCGCCCCUGGAGACGUGGACGUCAACUGCUGGGGGCCCGCCAUCGGCGAAGCCGAGGAAGGGGUCGUCGUGGAAGGGCGCGGCAGUGAGGUGGGUUGGUUCGAGCCGUAGAUCAAGACCGAGAUCUGAGGGAGGGAGAGGGCGGCGGCUGUGGGUGCGUAGGAGAGAGGGGGGCGAGAGGACGGGUGGUGCGGGUUGUGUUAGGGCUAAUUGGGUGAGACGGUGAGGGGGUCAAGUCUGCCGUUGGAUCUGAGAUGAUCGGGCGGUUUAGAUCGCCUAAGGUAGGGUGAUCCGGGGUAGACGUCCUGAUUGGUUGGAGACUACAAGUGUAAUUUAAAAUAUAGUCUCUAAGUGCCAAAAACAAAGGGGUUUAAGAAGCAACUACCAAUAAUAUUUUGCAAAAUGGAACCACUAAAAAUUUCACUCAAGUUAUACCACAUUUUAUGGAUGACAACCAACUUUUGGGCCAUUUAAACCAACUUGUACCAUAUCAGGAGGAACCGGGCCAAAUUUAAAUUACAACAACUUCAUAGUUUGCUCAUUGUUUUUUCCAAAAAUCAUUUUUAGGUACACAUGUAUAUAUUUCAUCACACAACACUAUGAGUUUUGUAAGAUUCCACCCGCAGCUAUGAACGGUCAUGCCCAUGGUUUUAACCGCAUUUGAAAUUGGCAUAAAGAAUUAAAGAAAUCAAAAAAAUGGAAAGCCUUUGCAUUGUGUCAUUAUGUGUGAUCUAGUUUCUAGGAAAAAACAAACUUCUAAUAAGGUAAAUACCUUAAAAAGUCUUCUAAAAAUGAGCUAUCAUGUGUGAAGUUUCAUGGCUUUCAAGCGAAAUGAUCAAUCUUAUGGCCACAUUCAUGUCGUAGUCUGCUCAAAUGAUCUCAUAUCAUGCACAAGGGGGCAUAUUGGAAUGAUAAACAAUGUUGCCUAAGGAAGUUUUCAUUUUCUUUGGACGAAAAAUCAAUUUUCCAUUUUUCGAGUGCCCAAAAUAAGUUUUUUUAUGAAGGACAUACUAUAUAUUUAUUGCAAAAUUGUACCAAAUCAGUUUUAUAAAAUACUAGGCCAUAUUUAAUGCACAAUUGACCAAAUGGUUGGGUGUCAAAAGCUUUUAUCCACCUCUGGUGAAAAAGACAAAUUUCUGCCGAUUUAGUAGGAAACGAGUCAAAUUUGAACUGCAGUUGCCUUAUAGUUUGCUCUUUAUUUUUUCCAAAAUAUUUUCUAGGUACAUAAGUAUCUAUUUAAUCAGAGAAACACCAAAAGUUUUACAAAAUUUAGCCGCUAGCUAGGAACGGUCAUGCCCGCCGUUUUGAUUGCAUUUUGAAACGGUCAUGAAAAAUUAAAAAAAUUAAAAAAUUAGAAAACCUUGCAUUGUGUCAUUAUAUGUAACCAAGUUGCCAGGAAAAUAAUAAAAUUGUAAUAUGGUAAUUAGUUUUAAAAAGUGUUCUAAAAAAUGAGCUAUCAUGUGUGGAGAUUCAUGGCUUUCAAGCCAAAUGAUCAAUCUUAUGAUAGCAUUCAUGGCGUAGUUUGUUCAAAUGAUCUAAUAUCAUGCACAAGGGGGCAUAUGAGAAUGAUAAACAAUGUUGUCUAAGGGAGUUUUCAUUUUUUUGGGACGAAAAAUCAAUUUUCCAUUUUUCGAGUGCCCAAAAUGAGUUUUUUGGUGAAGGACAUACCAUAUAUUUGUUGCAAAAUUGUACCAAAUUAAUUUUCUAAAAUACUAGGCCAUAUCUAAUGCACAAUUGACCAAAUUUUUGGGUGUUAAAAUCUUUUAUCCACCUACGGUAAAAAAAACAAAUUUCUGCCGAUUCACUAGGAAACGGGUCAAAUUUGAACUGUCGCUGCCUUAUAGUUUGCUCUUUAUUUUUUCCAAAAAUAUUUUCUAGGUACAUAAGUACCUAUUUAAUCAGAGAAACACCAAAAGUUUUCCAAGAUUCAACCACUAGCUAGGAACGGUCAUGCCCGCCGUUUUGACCGCAUUUUGAAACGGGCAUGAAAAAUUCAAAAACAAAAAUCAAAAAAUUGGAAAAACCUUCGCAUUGUUUCAUUAUAUGUGGCCAGGUUCUCAAGAAAAUAAUAAACUUGUAAUACGACAAUUAUUUUAAAAAAAAUGUUCUCAGAAAUGAGCUAUCACGUGUGCAGAUCUAUGAUUUUCAAGCCAAAUGAUCAAUAUUAUGACGACAUUCAUGGCAUAGUUUGUUUAAAUGAUCUGAUAUAGUGCACAAUGGUACAUCCUGCAAGGACGAACAAUGUUUCCUAAGGGAGUUUUAAAAUUAUUUUUGGAUAAAAAAUCAAUUUCCCAUUUUUUUAGUGCCCAAAAUAAGGUUUUUUUUUGUGAAGAACCUACCAUAUAUUUGUUGCACAAUUGGACCAAAUCAAAAUUUUAAAAUACUAGGCCAUAUUUAAUGUACAAUUGACAAAAUGGUUGGGUGUAUAAAGUUUUUGAUCCACAUCUCGUGAAAAAGAUAAAUUUCUGCAUAUUCAUUUUCCAUUUUUCGAGUUCCCAAAAUGAGUUCUUUUGUGAAGAACCUAACACAUAUUGUUGUAAAAAAACUUCUCCAACUUUCAAGAAUAUUAAACCACAUUUUAUGAACAAAUUUUUGUACACUAGAAACAUUAUAUAUAUAUAUAUAUAUAUAUAUGUNNNNNNNNNNNNNNNNNNNNNNNNNNNNNNNNNNNNNNNNNNNNNNNNNNNNNNNNNNNNNNNNNNNNNNNNNNNNNNNNNNNNNNNNNNNNNNNNNNNNNNNNNNNNNNNNNNNNNNNNNNNNNNNNNNNNNNNNNNNNNNNNNNNNNNNNNNNNNNNNNNNNNNNNNNNNNNNNNNNNNNNNNNNNNNNNNNNNNNNNNNNNNNNNNNNNNNNNNNNNNNNNNNNNNNNNNNNNNNNNNNNNNNNNNNNNNNNNNNNNNNNNNNNNNNNNNNNNNNNNNNNNNNNNNNNNNNNNNNNNNNNNNNNNNNNNNNNNNNNNNNNNNNNNNNNNNNNNNNNNNNNNNNNNNNNNNNNNNNNNNNNNNNNNNNNNNNNNNNNNNNNNNNNNNNNNNNNNNNNNNNNNNNNNNNNNNNNNNNNNNNNNNNNNNNNNNNNNNNNNNNNNNNNNNNNNNNNNNNNNNNNNNNNNNNNNNNNNNNNNNNNUUUGGAUGUCUAAUAUUUUGAACACAUGUCUACAUUAUUUAAGACACAUUGUACAUAUUGUUUAUAUAUAUGUUUAACUUUUUUCAAAUACAUGAUUAUCAUAUUUUCAUAUAUUCCCAACAAAAAAACAUCUUUUCAUACAUACGUUUUGAUGUCUAUAUCUUUCUUUACAUAUUGUACGUUUUUGUAUACAUAUAAAACAUUGUUGAUAUUGGUUAGAAAAAUUUAAAUACAUGAUUAACAUUUUUCGAAUAUAUAGUAAUACUAUUCAUCACCCUGGUUGCAGAAUAAGUUAUUCUUCACCCAAGGUAAUCUUACGACCGCUUCAUAAAUAAAUUAAGUUUUGAAUACAAAUAGUUACGCUCAUAUUGAUUCACGACGUAAAAUUUGUUAUAAGAAAACAAAAAAAAUAGGUUAUAAGAUCAUAAAUAUCGCAUUUUAUGUAUGUUUUUAAGUUCGUUACUUUACGUAACAUAAAAUAUUUUUUACGGCGAGUAUAUAGUUUCUUACGUUCUCUUUUUACGUAUGAAAUAAGACAAAAAUUACGAAACCUAAAAAUACAAUGCAUUGACGUCAAAAUAGGGUGUGGAUGAAGAAUAACUAUUCUUCACCUAGGGUGACGAAUAGUGUGACCUUCUAUAUAGUAAUAUGUAUAUAUAUGGCUAUUUUUGUAAUAUGUAUAUAUAGUAAUAUUGUAAAAUUUACAUAUAUACGUACUGAUGGCUAUUUUUGCGUGCUCAUGAAACUUUUUUGUACAUAUCUAAUAUUAUUUAUGAUUAUCGUUUUUAUAUGCAUGAAACUUUUCAAAUACACACAUUUAAUUUUUUUAAACACAUGAUUACAUUUUUUAAAUACGUAUUAAUAUUAACAUUUUUUAAGUUACACGUUUAGUUUUCUAAUUACUAAACCAUAUAGCAAGAUUCACGAAGGAGUUCAUUAUUUUCCUAUUCUUGUAAUUUUAUAUUGUUUAAUUGGUUUCGAUAUUUUUCUAUAAGGAAAAACCUUUUUAGAGUUAUACAACGAAAAACCUGUUUUUUAGACAAUAAUGAAUUUUGUUUUUCAAAUAACUGACCAUCCUUACCAAAUGGUAAUAAUAAAAAACUUGUUAUUUUCCCAUUUUCGUUGGUCUGAAUUUUUUUUUGAGUAAUAUGAGGGCAUCCCACAUUUCUUCCUGGAUGGACCGAGGCCUACAUGGUACACAUAUUUUUUUAUAAAGGAGGUAGCCUCGUUCCACCGAGCCCCAAGCCCACCUUAAGCGACACCUUAAGUACCAAGGCAUCCUCGUUCACAACCUCAUGACCGAUUAUAUUUGUCAUAAUCAGGUAGAAAUAAGGUCGUCGACCACUCUUGUCUGCUUUAUGACCAUUUGGUGUAAGGCAAUUUCAGAGUUUGAGCCUUUCAAGAGAAAUGACCGUGGAUUUACGACCAAUUCAGCUGGGAUCACUGAGAGAAGGUCACAAAUUGACAUAUUUCUUGUAGUGAAACCAAGACAAGACAAAUAGAGGGCUCCUGAUCAAGGAAUAUGGAAGUAGAGCUCGGAGAUGGGAGCCACAAAGCAGUCAUCAGUCUCAAAGCAUGAUGACAGGAGGGGUUGUAGCUGAGAAAAUACAUCCAGAUCUUGUGGACAACGCUGCAAUGUAUUCUUCUUCUCCCUCUCCCUCUCCCACAGCGUUGCGAUGCAAACAUCAGCAAAACGGUAUACUUAUAAUUCUUGAUUAUUAUCAUAUCUCACAGCACAGUCCGUCCUUCCUGUUCAGUUCAACCGAGAUCCAAGUCUCCGCUUUCGUUCCUUCUGCAUGCACUUAAUUAUCGCGCGCGAAUUUUGAUGCCGACAGAAGAAUGGCCAAACCCCGUGGAGGAGAUCGUCGAGGAGACGAAUUUUGAAAACAUUUUACAACUUUUUUGAGGUACUAUUCAACCAGGAGCAAAUGCUCCCGGGAGCCACCCCCGCCCGCCGUACCACCCGUUUCAUUCCUACUACGAAACUUAGAGGUAACUAGUGCAUCUCCUUACAAAGUCCGCAUUGGCAAAUAUUUGACAUUUCAAACUUCUAAGAAUAGAUUUUGUUCUCCACUCAUGGCAGAUUUUGAAAGAUUAUUUCUUAUGGUUGCAAUUCUAAAACACUUUUUUCUUCAAAACAUGGCAAAUUUUAGAAAAUAUUUAAAUGCUCAGAUGGAAACUAUAUGAAUUUUGUUCCACACACUUUGCAACUUUCUUUCUUUGCACCAUGGCAAAUAUACUUUACGGACCAUGGAACUUUAUAGAUGGUGGAAAAUAUACUGUAUGAACCAUGGCAAAACUAAAUUUUAAACCAUUGUAAAUUUCCUUAUUUGGACCACGGUAAAUUUACUGAACAAUCCACGGUGUAUUGUUUUUGUUCUUUACCAUGGAAAAUUUAUAUAUGUGGACAUGGCGAAUUUGCUUUUGGUAUCAUUGAAAAUUACUUUUUGCUUGGAUGAUGGUCAAUUAUUUUUGGAACAUGCCAAAUUUGUUGAACAAACUAUUGUAAAUUCUUUUGGUACACCAUUGCAAAUUUAUUUGGGAUAUCCCAUGACAAAUUUGUUUCAUGAUACUAUUUCCUUAAAAAAAUCCCGUCAUCUUUACGAAACAAGGGCAAGUUAGCUUCAAACAUAAUUGGUAUGUUUUCUUUUAAGUUUUUAAGACAUGGCAUAUUUAGUUUCUCAUGCAUGACAAUUUUUAAAUUUCAUGUAUGUCAUUUAGAUAACACAAAUUAUGUGCAAACAUACCCCCACCCCCACUAUCAUGGUAAACUUAUGCCGAUUUGUAUUUUUAUUAUGCUCUACAUCUUGAUAAUUUUUCUACAAGUUUUGUCUCUCUACAUUUGCCAUGGCGGUGUUACUAUGGAUGUUCUUUUUCGUAAUGUACUAGACGUCGGCAAAUAUUUUGUAUAUAACAUGGCAAUUAAAUUUUGUACACCCCAUGGCAAUACUUACUGCAUAUGGCAAUGUUAAUUUUCUGUUCUUUGUGUGUGUACGUGAGAUUUUUUUUUACUUUCUGUGCAAAAGGGAAUUGUGUUGUGCCAGGAGGCUUUAGAAAGGGCCCAACUAGCAUGGGGUUUGCACGCGUGAACGGGGUUGGGUGGGGGUAGGGGCGUCCUUUCAAACAAAAAUGUUACCAUUCGUUUGCUCCAAAUAUGAUGUCAGAUCUAUAUUCACGUCCUUUAUUUAUUAAUUUGGAAACAGGGAAAGACAAAAUAAACUUACUAUCGACAAUUUCACGUAAGUUCGACUUUAUACCAGGAUGAUCGAAAACCAAAGUUAUUCAUUCGGAGAGUGGUAAGGCUUCAUGUUCUCUCUCCAAAUUCACAAAUUACGUAAAUUGGAUAACUAACUAAUAUUUGAAACAUCAACAUUUUAUAUCCGUAUGAAAAUCAUGACUUAGAUGAUCUUAGAGAAAACAAUUGUGUUUCUAAUUUAAUACGUGGUCAGGACACUCAUCAUGGCAUCGAUUGUUUCAACCUAGAGUGCACUGGGUUUGUUCAAAUCUCCAAGGACUAUAUAUGCACUGGGUGCAACCUUGGCGCUAUCAUCAAAACAUGGCGGUGAAUUGUAUGAGGUUCCACUCACAUUGUAUAAGGUAUUCACAUUAUAUUUGCUUAUUUUGACAAGAAUUAUAGUUAGUUAACAGUACGAGCUCACACUAACAAUACCGAAAGGUCUGGGGCAAGGAUGACAUGAGCGGGAAAUGGUGCGCGUUAUAUAUACAUUGACGAUGUGAGCGGGAAACUAUUUGAAUUUCAGAAAAAGUUCAUCGAUUGAAGAAGUUCGCUGAUUCAAAAAUGUUCAUGAAUUAAAAAAUAUAUUUCAGAAAAUUUUCAUAAAAAAUUUAUUCAUGAAUUUCAAAAUUGUUCCCAAAUUUCAAAAAAUAUUUGUCGAUAUAAAAUGUUUGCCUAUUCAGAAGAGUGCUCGCGAGUUUCAAAAAAUGUUCAUAUUUUUUAGAAAUGUUGGUAAAUUAUUAAAAAUGUUCACAUAUUUCGAAAAUUUCCAUGACUUCAAAAAAGGUUUGGGAAUUUGAUUUUUUUAAAGUUUCCAAAAAAAUUGACAAUUUCCAAAAAAAUGUUCAUGAUUUCAAAUAAGUAUUUUUUUGAAAAGGUUCACUCUUUUUAAAAAUGCUCAUGAAUUUGAAAGAUGUUCUUAAAAUGAAAAAUAAAAAAAGAAGAAAGGAAAAUAAAAAAGAAAAAGAAAACGGAAAGUAAACAUGAAAAAGGAAAAUAGGAAAUAAAAAAUUAAAUGAAAUAAAUAAAUAAGUUUAUGGAAUUUAAAAAGCAAAAAAUAACCAAAUGUAAAGCACCAAAAAGACGGUAUGAGGAACUUCUAGAACCUUGCUAAACCUGAAAGGAGCUAAUUGGUCCGGCCCAAGUGUACCUAGCAGGGAACGUGGGUACAUGCUUCGUCGCUAUCUGGCGAACUACGCGCUAAAUAGGAUAUUAAAGCGGCUAUGUCUCAGUUCGUGUGAGACUAACGGCUGCCUUGCCUCAAGUGGGGCGUAUGGUGGGUUGCCGAUAGUGUUAGGUUCAUUAGUUUCGUUCAUUUUCCUAUUUAUUUAGAACCUUUGUUUACAUUGUGAAUAAAUAGUAAUCUAUAUUUCAAAUAUUAUUUUUAAAUGUGCAUCGUGCAUUUAAAAGUGUCGAUGCAUUGUAAAAAGUUUCUUCAUGCAAUUUUUAUUUUUAUUAAUAGUUUCAUACCAUUCAAACAUAUGUUCAUGACUAUCAAAAAAACUUUCACACGUUUCAAAUAUAUGUUGAGGACAGGUUUAAAAAGUGUCCAGGCGUACAAAUAUAUGUUUGUGAAAAUUUUGAAAAUAUUUAUAAAAUGUAAAAAAUGUAAAAGAAUAUAUACAAAAAAUCGUGUACAACUUGUAUUUGAAAAAUGUGUAACAUGUAUUGAAAAAUGUUCAAUGUGAUAAAAAAAGGUACAACGUGUAUUAAAAAGAUCAACUUGAUAUAGGAAAGUAAAAAAAAAAGUAAAAAGUCUGUAGAAAACCAGGAAAGUAACACAGAGUAAUGAAAAAGAAAAAAAAGAACCACAUGAUAGGUUCUAAAACCAGUCUGUACCAAUGCACCAUUCUAUAGAACCUUCCCAAACCAGUUUAAUGGGACGGCGAUGUGAGCACCCCCAGUGGCAAUAAGCAAGAUAUAGCCCGGUGGAAAAAGGGAGAGGACAAUGAACAAGCUGCGUGAGCGCCCCCAGAGGAUAUUGAACAUAAUAGCUUGAAAUUAUAUAUGGAAAGUUACAUGAGUUUGGUGCUUCCUUCGAUUUCUAGUUCAACUAAAUAUUCUUCUGGUCACAAGAUAGAUCCUGCCCCUAGGCGAAACGAGAUCAUACAAAAAGCAAUUUGAGGAUCACAUAUAGCACAUCAUUUUCUUUUUUGCGAUGGAAAUAUCAUAUCAUUUGUUUAGGAUAGCCAAUUAUCAGAUAACAAAAAUGUAAAUGUUGUCAAGUUUCAGUUCAGUAUGGAUACCAAAAUAUAAAAAUGUUCGAAAUGGCCAUCAGACCUGGGGACAGCCCAUGUCACAGAUGACGAGUCACGGGUUCAUAUAUGAUUUGGAUCAAAAUACCUCAACCAUUGCGACCGAACUGACUACACUCAACUACUGAAAGAGCCAACACUGCUGCAUUAACUGAAGUGUCUGCAAUUUCAGUGGACCACACAUCUCUAGGAACAACACCGCCGAAUUUCAACAAACUAGUUUCUACAGGUUCUGGAUACCAAGAAAAUGGGUUAUUUCUACAGAUUCGCUUCAAAGUUACAAAUGGAAAAUCACCGUACAUAAGAAGCCACGAAAGAAAGGGCACUAGGGCACUGCUGCUAUUACUUCACCUUGGCGGCUGUCAAGCAACUCAGGAUAUCUGUGAAGCAAACCGUCUGCAUCAGAAUCUGACUUUCUCAGCUCGUCACUGAAAUGAUAGAAACGAUCAAUUCUCAGCUAGUUUAAAAUGUAAAAGAAUUCAUGGUUUUAAGUAACUUAUUCCAGAAUCAUUUUAGGAAUAUAUGAUCACAUAAAGGCAACAGAAAAGUUAGACGAAAAGUGAAAUUGAAGAACUGUUUGGACUUCUGUACUGGUUAAUUUUCCACUUCCAUUAUAGAUCUAAUCUUAAGGUUUUUAAUGGCUUAUGAAAAAUUAAGUGUUCAGCGAUCGAUGCCUCUAUCUCUGAAGGAAAUUCUGAGCCCGUGAGAGUAUCAGUACGAUUAGGAGUAGGAUAGCAUUGAAUGAGGAAAUGCCCUUGUAGAUUUCUUCAUGUUGUCAUGUAAAGAGAUCUAACGGAAAUGAUAAUACAAUUGGAAAAUGGGACAUGCUUAAGUGGCGUAAAUGUAGAAACUACAAACAUGUUAAUGGAACAUCAUACUGUUCAAGACACAUAUCCAAGUGUAUAUAGAUAAAAUUGCUUAUGAAAAACAAUGGGUGACUUACAGAUGAGACAAUGGUCAUGGAAAAGGAAAUGUAUGAUUCUGAUACUACGCCAUAAAAAUAAUGCGCUAAUCCAUUUGCAACCACCAUAGGGAGAGGCAGAUCCAGAUGUGAUGUGGUGGGACCUCAGUCGAUGCAUAAGGGGAAUGGAUGGCGACAAAUACAAGAGGAAAGAAAUGGAGCGCUGCUGACCAAGAUAGUAAGGGAAGGAUGUGGGAAAUAAAAAGCAGCCAGCCUCAAAGCACGAUGACAGGAAGUGAUGAAAGCAGCUCGAAAUAGAAAUGUGGUAUUUGUUAGUAGAAAUAUAAACGUGAUUAGUUAGAGAUAAGGAGAUAGAGAUAGACUUAGUUUAAACACAUAAUAUCUUGCCUUGUACUCCAAGUCUCUUCUACGUUGUACUCUAUAUAUACCCCUAUGAGGGUCAGAUCAAUACAACAUACUCCCUCCGUUCCUUGAUAUAAGGUGUAUAGAUUUUUAAGAAAAAGUCCGAAAUAUAAGGUGUAUUGGGUUACACCGCUCGUUUGGAUAAUUUUUGAAGGAAUUUGAUUACAUUUCCUUAUAUCAGAAAAGCUCCUCUAUUUUCUCAUGUCUAUUAUCUAGGAACGGAGGGAGUAUAAUUCCAGGGUUCUAUAUUUUCUCCGCAGCGUGCCGCUCCCAGGCAGAUCAAUCUCCUUCCCCGGGGGCGCGGCACCCGAUCGAUCAAAGAUUGAAUCGGUUGCAUAGAUUAGAUAUUUUUCACUCUUCCGGAUUUCAUAGGUUGAUUCUUUUUAGCCACAAAUAAAUCCUACGACCCUCAGAAUCCCAUAGAAAUGAGUGCAGGCGGCCAUGCGCCGCCGAUCUCCCACGCACGACUACAACUUUUCCGAGCAAAUUGACGUCACUCCGGUCUCCGACUGCAGCGCACGGCUACAUGCGGCAAUCGACCGAGCACGCGGGACUGGCCACCUGCGGGCGCUUGGUGGCCUUCGGCCUCGCAGUACAUCAUCCUGUCGGCUGGGUGCUGGCCGGGUGCGUCUACCUGAUCAGCUGACCGCGACGCGUCAACAUGGAAUUUCAUCGACUCGCUCCACAAGGACGGCAUCAGAGGAAAACUUCACGUGGCGUCACCAGCACGAGCACCGGGAGGUCCGAUCUAAUCUUCCUUGAUUUGCGUAUGCAGAACGAGGAGAUAUACACGCACAAGGCUUGUACAGGCAAUCAGGCAUGCAGCAAGAAACUAGAAGGUCUUCAUCAACAUCAUCGCCGCUACCUCGUCCACAAGAUGGACACCUGGCGUCCUCUGACAGACUUUUCUGCAAGACACGACCUCGACGACGGCAAUGACCGCGUCACGACGACGCCAUCGACCGCGUCAUCCACGAGGGCACGACUGCAUCGACACGGCGUCACUACAGUGACCACCCUACACGGCCACACGGUUCUGGCAAAACCGAUGUGUGCUCGAUGGCCUUCCUUCGGUCUUGGCAAAACCGGUGGACUCUCAUCGCCGACGACACCCUUUGACAUCCGCAAGGUGCACCGUCAACGUCUGCAGCUCCGUCAUAGCGCAUUUUUUUUGCGCCUCCGGCUUUGUGCGGAUUCAUCAUCCACGACGACCACACCAUCGACCACGACUACCUCGACCACGGCUACAUCACCAUAUGAUCGGCUACCUCGACAUUAAUGGCUACGCCUACAACAACUCAUCGGCAACAACUCCAGUCAACAUCGUCUGCCUCGUCACUUACGUCCACGACACUCCCGCUGUGACUGCGGGAGGGAAUAAAGGAGAAGACAAGGAAGGCACCAGAAGGGGACGCAGUCACCGCCCUAGGUGCCGACCCAUCAGCCAUCAAAGACGCAGUUGAUGAUGAUGCAGCGGAGAGGACGACAGAAGCGCAAGACUUCAAAUUCAGUCGCAAUCAUCCGCUUCAUUCCCGCUACGACUGAGGGGGAAUGUUAGAAGUAUAAACGUGAUUAGCUAGAGAUAGACUUAGUUUAAACACACAAUAUCUUGCCUUGUACUCUAAGCCUCUUCUAUGUUGUACUCUAUAUAUAACCCUACGAGGGUCAAAUCAAUACAACAUAUAAUUCUAGGGUUCUAUAUUUUCUCACAGUCUUCUCUCUGGUAUAGGUAGUUGAAGAUGAAUACAUAGGGAGCAAGCGGCGAGUCUGGGUGGACUAGGCAAAGCAAUGCUCUAAUCAACAUGCAUGACAGGGAGAGGCAUAUCAGAAAUAAUUUCGUGGCACCUCAACUGAUGCACAUGCAGAGUGGAUGGUAACAAAACCAAGACAAGCCAAAUAUAGGGCUGCUGAUCAAAGGAUAUGGAAGUAGAGCUCGGAGAUGGGAGCCACAAAGCAGUCAGUCCAUAUGGCGCUUUAUCUGGAAUUGGUAGUCGAUGAAGAAUACAACAUGUGCGAAACCUUAACUGGCUUUAAAUCUAGACAUUCAACAAUCGAUUAAAUACAUAAUGCGCACCUUGUUUCACCAUUGAAAGAACUAUCGAUCCAAAUUUACUAAAUGGGUGACGAGUUUCCAUAAUAUAUGAUGGGUAUACCAUAUGCAUUCACAUGUAAGCUGAUGAUAAGCUAAAAUAUAUACAUGUAGCAGAAGAUAGAUUUACAUCACCUGUUCACCACACACAACACAUCAGCAUCAAGUAUUGUUCAGCAUUUCAGGUUCAUCAUCUUUGCCACCGAUCAUGCUUCCUAUAACCAAAACAAGUCUAGUAAACUAACAAAGAACUUGAGGAAAAAUCAAAUGAAAAAAGAGAGGGCAAAGGUGCUAGUUAAAUCAAACUGAGAAACUCCGAUGACGAAAUAAUGAAGAUUUAAUAAAACUGGCCUUGUAGAAGAUAAAGAAAGCUUCACUUUUUUCUGACGCAGUACAAAUGAACUCACUUGCAACAGGAUUCUUACAAAAAAUGUUCAAUAAACUUCACCAUUUAUUUCGUAUAUAUCAAGAUAUAUGUAGGUUAGAAUUGUGGACUUAUUAUUAACUGCAAGAUCAAUAUAUGUAAUCAUUAUAUUUCAGAGAAAUGCUUUGAGAACUUGCUAAGCAUCCAAAUAUAAUAUCUACUCUUCUACUCAAACUACCAAAACGUCUUAUAUUUAGGAACAUACGAAGUAGUACCUAAUACAAUAUUUCAAACGGUUCAACUAUGUGCUUUAGUGUGUUGCAAUUUCCAACUGUUGCAUAUAGAUCAUACUGAAAACAUCAGUGCUAUAAAUAUAUAGACAUAAACUUGAUGAUAAUAUCUCAGGCAACAACAACAAAAUUCUUCUAGCUCCCUUCCAGUUCAAUAAUAAUAAUAAUAUAAAAAGAACAUUGACAUAAGUUAAGCACACUUGACAAAUAAACAAGGAAUACAAUUUAAACAAAAAAUAUCACCCAACCCUUGAGCACAAGAACAAAGUUCCAACAACCACACGCCCAAAGAUAACUGAAUCUUGUUAAUCUCCUUGGAAAGUAAAUUAAAGACGAGAUGUUACCUCCAGCAUAGAAAUUUGUGUAGGGAUAAUAGGUGGUCCUGAGGUUGCUUUAAAAAAUAAGUUUGAACCGCAGCGAGUCAAGUUGGAUCAUGAAGACACUAAAGUCUAUAACUAGAAACAUCACAUUGCUUUCCUCGGCAUACCCAAGUAUCUGUAAGUGUGCUUUCUCCAUCUUCGGUUUCAACGGAAGGAGCUUGCCCAAUUGAAGUGUUUUCCGGAGCACCCAUCUGCCAACACCACCAGAGUUGUUCCUCUCCCACAGCUGCAUGCUCUGUUGGGACGAAAUGGCAAGGCCUAGGCAGCCAUCCUGUGUCCGCAAGAUCUGGAAGUGGGAAUACCUGGUAGAAUGGGCGUCCGCUGGCUCCUGGAUCAGGACGAGGCUAUGUGUUUCAAGACCAAAUGAGAGGAUGCAGGUUCCAUCAAUCGACCAGUGCAAUGCACUCCCAACAAGGACGUUAGAACUAAGCAGACUAAUCCCAAAUCUGACUGUAAUUGGUUCUGAGAUAGUAUUUCCCCAUCCACCGGGCUCGGAGUUAUAGAGGCGAGUGAACACGCGGGUGCGGUCUCUGUUGGUGCGGACCAGCACCAGUUUGAAGGGGCUGGAGUGGCAGUCGCCGUGCAUGUGGCCUUCCUCGCGGGCGGCACAGAGCAUCGCGACGUCUCUGAUGAGGUUCUCUUGGUCGUCGUCGAACCCCGGCGGGAAGGCGACCUGUGCGGGGGUACAAAUACUAUAGUUAGCCUACAAAUACUAUAGUUCUCUUUUUACAUUAAUCCCCCACUUUAUUAAACUGAUAAGAUAUUACAAUCUGACUGGAUAGUUCUAGUCAGGAAUCCAAGAAUUACAUCAACGCAUGUAAAAGAAGAAAUGCUAAGAGCUUCUCUAGCGCAAAGGUGCGCCGCCCAAUUUGCUUCGCGUCUAAUCCAUAGAAGCUUGAACCCCUGAAAAGUCUCGGCCAAAUGCUUAAUUUCCCUCGUAAUAUGGGCCCCAUUCAACAGGAUAGCGACAAGUAAUAUGGAACAAAGGGAGUAGAUCAUAACAGUCCAUUUGCAUGAUAAUAUGUUGAUUCCCAAAAUACUAUCUAACGAACUUGCAUGCUAGAACAAAUCAACAUCAUCACAAGGUGGAGCCAUCAAGAGUUGGGUGAAACUGACAUACCAUUGCACACUUGAAACUCCAAAUUUGCUCCUUUGUCAUUUUCAUACUUCUCUACUUGUGCUUGAGGCUGGACACCAUCCAUUUAUUUUGUUGCACACCAAUCUUUUCCUUUUGUUGCUGCCAAUAAAAAUUAUAGUAAUUUGUAGCCCCUCGCCGCUUUCCUCCACGGCAGCGCAGCCCUUGGUCGCUCUCCUCCGCGACAGCGUUGGGCUGCAUUGCUCGCCGUCCUCGCCUUCGGGACCGCAACGAUCUCCUUCCAGCCUUUCCCCGUCCGCUGAAUCUGUUACUGAUUGGAGCAUCUCCAGCAAAUCCGGUAGAUCCCCGUCUUGUAAAAUAUACCGCAAAAUGUCUUUUACGAGUUUUUAGGCUGUCUUUUAGGAGUUUUUAGGCUGUGAUAUGUGCGAGAGCAGAACAAAUCCCGCUAAAUUGUUGACAACAAACAUAAAGCCCCUGGACUCAAUAAAACCUAACUGCAAUUGGGACCUUUGUCCCGGUCAAGCUCUCGUGCAAGAUCUGCCAUGGGCAGGGAGGUCGCAGCUCCGCCACUCACCGCCGAACCACAGAGCCACCACCCACGCGCCAUCUCCUCUCCAGACUCGGCUAGGGCUGGCGGCCAGAGCUCGCGUCUCGAGCAACAAUGCCUCCUUGCGCGGCAGCAGCUCGAGCAGGUAGAUAUAGCGGAUUCGACCCGAACUAUGCAGGAGCCCGCAAUUUUUUUUACGAACAAGUGAUUUUCCAGUAUGUUCGGGGCGGAGAAUUUGCCGCCGGGUCGAAAAAUCAGCCCCCGGUCCGCGGGAGAGGCUUGCUGGGGUCCGCCUCAUCAAUCACUUUGACCAAGGCCCCAGCCAGAUCUCUACACUCCUCGGCACAAGCCUGUGCGCGCAGCAACUCCUCUUCACAGACAUUUCCACGACAUAGUUCCGGGCUUGGUUGUGUUCUUUUGUCUCUCCGAUAAGAUGAAAAAAGACUAGAUAUACUCAAACAGGUGCAACAGGUGCUUCUCAUAAAUAGCUCUAGCCAAUGCAACCAAAAGACCGAUCUGAGAGAGAGGGACGGACAUUAUACUCCAACACUCCCUCUCACGUAUAUGCUCCUUUGGAGCUAUAUGACGUGGGCAGCGGAAGCGGGGGCAGGCCGCAAUUAUUUAUUGCGUUUACUGGGUUUUGAACCCUGAACCUGUUGGUUUUAAGUUUAUGCACCUAACCAGUUCAUCCAUCAGACCGAUCUGAUGGAAGAGACUAGGCAGCACAUUAUACAUCAACACUCCCCCUCACGUGUGGCUUCCUUAGACCUAAACGUGGACCGAAAGUGGGUUGCAAUUUAAUUGCGCCAGCCGGGUCUUGAACUCAAGACCUCUUGGCUCUGAUACCAUGUAGAAGUGCAUGCUCUAGCCAAUGCAACCAAAAACCGAUCUGAGAGAGAGAGAGAGAGUCGGACAUUAUACUCCAACAAAUACGUCCAUUAAGAUAAAUAUAUAAUUCCAAACAAGACAAACUCAUACUUUCUCCUUUCGGUUUAUAAGGCUUAUCUCAAAAUCUUAAUUUUUCCAUUUUAUAAAUCUCAAUUUGGUCGUUCCCCAUCAUAAGUUCAGAUUUUUAAGAUGCAUUAAAUAAUGAAAAACGUUUAAAAACAUCCGGAUGAUUUUUGGCUUCGUCAGCCGCGUCGACCGCCGUCUGAUCACACACGAUCGUGUGGCGUCGAGCACGUGCGGAGCGCCUAUUUGUCUAUCACACAAAGUAGCCUGCACACCUAUCGCGUCUAGCCUCGCGCCUAAAGGUAAGUUGUCCCGUGACUCAACCGUUCCUUUACUCUUACAAAUCGAGCUAUUCGAACCCCGAGGCACAGUUUCUUAUGUCACAGCGGAAUCGACACUUAGGCUCUGUUAAGAACUAGAUGUAUCUCCUCUGUAUUACAAGCUGAAUUGCGGUAGCUAGCCCUGAUUACAAUCUCCAGAUGAAGCUACAGUGGAUGGGGAUUACAGGUAGAGAGAGAAGCGAGAGGUAGGAGAAGAGCCGAGCCGCCGUUGUCGUGAUCCUACGCGGAUACCCUCGCUGAUGCUUUGGCCCUCCUACUUGUAGUUGCAACUGUAGGGAGUCGGCUGAGCCUGGCCCAUCCUCUCAGCCCAUGAAUGGAAGGGGGCCAACAGGCUCUCUGAACUGGUGUCCCUUCCAUGAACCUAUAAACUAAAUAAAAGAUACCAUGCUUUAUGAAGACCUAUACAUGGCACGUAGUGCUUUGCCACCUAGGUACACAUGUGAUGCUACAAAUAAUACACGUUCAACAGAAAAAUCUCAAGAUGAAGCACGUAGCAAGCACCAAACGAGGAUUCCAACACCAUCAUUUUUUAUACUAGCAAGUUGAUGGAGUCAUGGCUGCUUGGAUAUAGCAAUGUUUGGAGUAGCGUCCUUAUGCCGUAACCAUUCAAGUAUCCCAUCCAAGCAUCAUCGGAGCAGGCGGGUUGACGUCAUACAUCGCCGAAGCAUCCGUGCCGCUGUCGUAGCACUGGCACGAUCGGUAAGCACGCUGUCACAGCACCAUCGAAGCAGUCAGGCCUCCGUUGCAGCAUCACCGUGGUCGUCAAAGCAUGUCGUCACAGCAUCACCGCGACAGUUUCAAGCAUGCCGCCGCCGUGGUUGGCCGCAUCAUCGCCAAGUCUGUCGAAGCAGGCAUCGUGGCUGUCGAAGCACGACGUCGCAACAUCAUCAAAGCAGACUGGUUGAUAUUGUAGCAUCCCCGUUAUUGUCGAAGCACAAUGUCGCAACAUAAUUGAAGUAGCCAGGUCGUCGUCAUAGCAUCACUGCAACUGUCAAAGCAGACCACUGCCAUCAAAGCAUGUCAUCGCAACAUCAUUGAAGCAAAUGGGCCGCCGCCAAAGCAUGUCGUCGCAACAUCGUUAAAGCCAUCGGGCCUCCGUCGCAACAUGCCAUUGCAGCAUCAUUGAAGUAGCCAGGUUGUCGUCGUAGCAUCAUCACAAUAGCCAAAGCACACCACGGCCAUCAAAGCAUGUCGUCGCAACAUCAUCAAAGUAGACGGGCUGCCGCUCGUAGCAUCGUCGUGGCCGUCGAAGCACGCCAUCGUGCCAUCGCCGCGGCAGUCAAAGCAUGUCGUCGCAGCUUUGUUAAAGUGGUCGAGCCUCCAUUGCAGCACACCAUCACAACAUCAUUGAAGUAGCCAGGUUGCCAUCGUAGCAUCACCGCAACCGACUAAGCACACCGCAACCAUCAAUGCAUGUCGUCACAACAUGAUCGAAGCAGGCGGGCUGCCGUCACAGCAUCGCCACGGCCGCUAUGCGAAGCACGCCAUCGUGCCAUCAGCGAUGCUACACUUACGCUCAACUCAUACGGGUUGGUACGGGAACAUGUGUCAAUAUUUGGUUGGAAGUUGGAAUGAGGAGGACCCCACAGUGAAAAUCAGGGGGCACAAAGAUUGGUGGGGAGAGAGUCCGUAGUAGGAAACCGUGCAAUGCUACCCAUAAAUGUAGCAUUUUUGAUCGUGCCAUCACUGCGGUUGUCGACGAAGCAUGUCAUCGCAACAUCAUUGAAGCGGCUGGGCCUCUUCGCAGCACGCCUUGAAGCAGUCAGGACGGCGUAGCUUUGAUGUGAUGCAGCUCAUGCCUAUCGACGUUGGUAGCAGGGUAAGAUCGUAUAUUUUUUUUUUUGCAAUGCACAUGACAGAAUUUGUAGUAACUAAGCUUGGUUACGUAGGAGUGUUGCACCGUCUUGAAGAACCUACCAGGUUCUGUGGAGAUAUCAAAGUUGUUGUACAACAACGUUCAGUCAUCUGGAAUUAAUAUUUAUAAACCAGUCCCGCUGGCAACAAGCCCACAACCGACGCGAUGUAUGGUCCACACAGUGCCCCACCACUGAGCACCGACGUGAAACUGAAAGGGUGAGCGACGCUGACUUGCUCAGCGGAUCGUACGGCUGACGGCGCGUGUUCGUGGAUUGAUCGGGUGGCUAGUGAACCGGCUGAUUUCUUGCCCGUAUCAACCGGAUGAUGCAUAGCAUCCGCCUUAAUAAUUGCAUACAAGUAUUAAGAAAAAAAUUGAUCAAUGCAUGUAUUUUAUGCUUGCAUGUAUUUCAAUUAAUACAUUGAUAAACAUAAAUAAAAAAACAAAAGCAUUAAUUAGGUGCUUUUGCAAAUUACAAAAAGUAUUUCCUCAGUCAUCAUCUAUCUUGGUUGGUAAGGUUGGUGAGAUUUUUGAAUUGAAUCCUAUAAACCAGAAAGGAGGAAGUAUAUACUUCACACGUAUAUACAUGCACAAACAACGAUAGGGUUUCUAACCCACUAAUAAAUUAGCAUUUCUUAACCAACCAGGAGGGGAUGAUACUACAGAGACAAAAAUUUCAGAAUACUUAUAGGCACCAGCACAAUAAGAGCAACAUUGACCACCUUCUGCAUGUUAUCCAGCCUCCUGUGGAAAUUUGCCAAGUCCUCCUUGCAACGCCUGCACAUGAAGAGCAAAUAUGUUACUAGAAGAUACAAAGUUACCUAUUAUUAUUUUUCACAACUUACACGGAAGUAUUAUUACAUAUUGUUCUGCAACUAGGUUUAUCUCACAAAAAACACAUAUGAGCACUACUUUGCGUCUAAAAAACUAGAGUAGCCUUGCUCAAUAAACAUCGUCGAGAAACACUACUAGUAGGGUAAAAAGGCUCGUUCAGUUGUAUACAGUAUUAAGGAAUUUACCUCUCAACUAAAUCCAUAUCAUCCAAAUUCUUGGAUAUAUCCUUCAUACUCUGGUCAAACUCUGCAGCCAUGCGCUUUAUUUCCUCGCGCUGUUUGGCCAGCGUUGCCUCGUCAUCAGAAUAAACCACUUGUCCCCCCUAUAAAAAUUUGAAGGACAUGUGUUACAAAUGCUGGAAAUUCAUAAAGAAGUUGCAAUACAGUGAAUACAUCACGGAUGCCUCUCAAGACGGAUGAAAGAUGCAAUAAUUUUUUUUUGUCUUCGUCUACCGCCAAAUCUACUAAAUAAGUAUAAACACUAGUGACUUAAUAAUGGAACAUGGUUGUACAAAAAGACUUUCACCAUCCGAACAUCCACUAAAACGUAGUGCAAGGGUGAUUGAUUUCUCUAAAAAGAUGAUACUAGAGGGGGGGAAGGCGCAAAACCGCACCAGCUGGGAUCAGAUCUAACCUGGGGUGACUGAUUUCUCUAACAAGUUGUAAAUUAUACGAAAUUGGGGAAAAAUUAGAGCAAAACCGCAACAGCGGGGAUCAGGUUUAACUUGCUUGCGAGAAAUCGAGCAGAACUUACCGUGCCACCGUGGGACAUGAGGCGAGAACCCGCCGCCGGCGAGAGCGCGUGGACCGGCCCCAUACGGGGGGCCAUCAUCGGCGACCGGGCACCGAGGGCCGGCAACUUCCUGACGAGGGAGCGCAGCGCCAUCGGGGGAGGCAACGGCGCGGAGGAGGGCCGACGAGGAGCUCAGCGGGCGUGCUCCGGCGGAGAGGCUUGAGCGGGGACGGACGCGGAGGAGAGGAAGGAGCGUCGGGCACGAGGGGAUCGGGCACGGGGUCUGGCGGUGCGAGGGGAGAAGUGGGGAUCGAGGAAGAGGGAGGUUGUGCGGGCUAGGGUUAGGAAGGGGUCGGCUGGGCCUUGGGCCGUGAAGCAGAUGGGCCGGCGCUCUUAUUCUUAUUUUCUUAAAACACAAAAUAACAAAGAAGAAAAGGACAAGGAAGGAGGUGUUAGGGGAAGAAGUUGGACACGCGGAUAAUUUUCCCGGACCCACAAAAAUGAGCUUGAUCCAAAAAAGUAGAAGUUUGCAUGAAUGCAAGAUUUAAAUUCAAACUCAUUUGAAUUUAAUUCAAAUGGUUUGAAAAUUCAAAUGAGUUUGAAUUAGGACAAGGUUUAGGAGUGGCCAAAAUGUUGAGAUCUUUGGUGGAGCUCCGGAAAGUGAAUAAAGAAUUUAGGGCAAAGUUUGGAGACCAAACUUGAAGCAGAAAAGGCACGGAAUUAUUUUGCAACUGCGUUUAUGGGUGAUUCCGAAAUAGUGGAAUAUUUAAUAUAGCUCCCUGAACAUUGAGAGGAUAUGUUAUAAAGAGAAAUCACCAUGUGAAUUCCCUAGAGUUAAAGAUCUAUGCAAUUUAUUUAAUUGAGUUUUGAAAAGGGUUGCAAGAGGACAUGAUGCAAUGCAAAUGAUGCAAUGAUGAAUGCAACGAACAAAACAAAACACACGACGAAUCUCGGAAUCCAUGGAAGGCAUCUGGAGCGCCGGUCUUGGGGCGUCACACAUACUCAAUAAUUUGUAUCAAAAUCAUACAAUUCAUAACUUGGUGUGAAUAUUUUGAAUUUAAACUUUUGUAGACUGUAAUUUUAUUAGCUUGAUUCGGGUUUGUACUCAAGUCAAUUUUCAUGAUGCCCACGCACUUGUCUGUAAAACAACAUGCACCGACAAAGGUAGACUUGUUUUUUCAUGAAGCUUUUGCAUCGCCUAUAGUGUCACACUCUCCUUUGCUCUAUUUUUUGUGCAACUCAUAAGGUUGUCGGAGUCCAUCCAUGUUUGUGAUGGAAACUUCCUUUUCUUUUAGAUGAUUUUACUUUAAUUUCUUACCACUACUUACAAACUUAUGUGAUUUCUAAUAUAUAACUUCCGGUUUUCACCAUAAGGCAUAAGCACUUCUGCAUCACAAAACUGUACAUUUCCAGAAAUGUACAAGAUACAUAUGUAUGGCUGAACUCACUAUGCUUCCAAAAAUUAAUUGGUUGCGCAAAGCUUGAUCUACUAUCAUGGUUCCACUAAAUAACAUAUGUUUGUCAAAUUAGUAAGUGUACCAUCCAUUUUAUUCCUACUCUGAAACUUAGAGGUAACCAGUGCAUCUCCUUACAAAGUCCGCAUUGUCAAAUAUUUGCUAUUUCAAACUUCUAAGAAAAGAUUUGUUCUCCACCCAUGGAAGAUUUUGAAAAUUUAUUUAUUAUGAUCUCAUGGCAAUUUCAAAACACAUUUUUCUUAAAAACAUGGCAAAUUUAGAAAAUAUUUUAAUGCUCACAUGGCAACUAUAUGAAUUUUGUUCCACACACUUGGCAACUUUCUUUCUUUGCACCAUGGCAAAUAUACUUUACGGACUAUGGAAUUUUAUGGAUGAUGGCAAAUAUACUUUAUGAACCAUGGAAAAUUUAUUUUUUUAACCAUUGUAAAUUUCAUUUUUUUUGAACCACGACAUUUUAUUGAACAAUCCACGGUAUAUGGUUUUUGUUCUUUAUCAUGGAAAUUUUAUAUAUGUGGCCAUGAAAAUUUUAUUUUUGGUACCAUGGCAAAUUCAAUUUUUUGGCCAUGGUAAAUUAUUUUUGGAACAUGCCAAAUUUGCUGAAGGAUCCCUCAUAGCAAACAGUUCGUUUACUCCACGGCUGCUCCAGAUCUGACAUCAGAUAUGUAUUCACAUCCUUUAUUUAUUAAUUUGGAAACAGGGAAAGGCAAAAUAAACCUACUACCUACUAUUUCAGGUAAGUUCCACUUUAUACCAAGAUGAUGGGAAACCAAAGUUAUUCGUUCGGGGAGUGGUACGGCUUCAAGUUCUCUCUCAAAAUUCACAAUUUGCGUAAAAUGGAUAAUCGACUCUCAUUACUAAGACCUUACAUUUUAGUCAUGAUUUAUGAAUAGACAUAUCGACCAAUAUUUGAAAGAUGAGCAUGUUGUAUGCAUAUGAAAAUCAUGACUUACAUGAGCUUAGAGAAAACAAUUGUAUUUCUAAUUUCAUAUAUGGUCAGGACACUCAUCUUGGCAUCGAUUGUUUCAACCUAGAGUGCACCGGGUUUGUUCAAAUCUCCAAGGACUAUAUAUGCAUUGGGUGCGGCCUUGGCGCCAUCAUCAAACUACAGCGGUGAAUAGUACGAGGUUCCACCCACAUUGUCUAUGGUAUUCACAUUGUAUUUGCUUAUUUCGAUAUGAAUUAUAGUUAAUUAAUUCCUAUGCAUGGUGGUAGCUACACACACAUGGUGGCAGCUACACACCCUUUGGCAUAAGUGCAUUUUUUUAUAUAUGAGGUGUCGGGUUUCUUAUGGCAUUGGCACAAGUGCAUUUUCGUUGUAUAGAAAAAUGACUUUUUCUCACUUCUCUUUGCCUUUUUAUUACCUUUUUGACACAAGUGCCUUUUCGUUGUGUGGGCAUUUUCUAACUUCUCUUGGUCGUUUCGCUUGUUUUUUUUUGGCAUAAUUGCAUGUUUGCUUGCCUGGCCGGUCCAAAGUCGCGAUAUUUCUGUUAUAGUUAGUUUUCAUAGUCCAAAAUAAUUUACCAAAAUAAUUAGACAUAAAAAUUGGGGCGUGCGUAGCUACCACCAUGGGUAGCAAAUUAUUUCCGUAACUAAUAGUUCGAGCUCACACUAACAGUACCAAAAGGUCCGAAGCAAGGAUGAUGUAAGCGGGGAAUGGUGAGCGUUAGUGUGAGCGUUGUACAUUGACGACGUGAAUUUCAGAUUCGCUGAUUCAAAAAAUGUCCAUGCAUUCAAAAAAUAUUCAUACACUUCAAGAAAUCUUCAUAAAAAUAUUCUUCAUGAAUUUAAAAAAUCGUUCCAAAAGUUUAAAAAAUAUUUGUUGAUUUCAAAAAUAUUUCCAAUUCAAAAAAGUGAUCACGAGUUUCAAACAAAUGUUCACAAUUUUUAAAAAUAUCCGUGAAUUCGUAAAGUGUCCAUAUUUUCGAAAAAUGUCCACGACUUCAAUUUUUUUGGGGAAUUUGAUUUUUGUCAAGAUUUCCAAAAAUAUUCACAAUAUUUAAAAAAUGUUUGUGAUUUCAAAAUAAUGUUCAUGGUUUCGUAAAAUGCUCAAGAAUUUGAAGGAUGUUCAUAAAAUGAAAAUUAAAUAAUGAAGAAAGGAAAAAAAGAAAAAGAAAAGGAAAAGCGAACAUGAAAAAAAGAAAAACAAAAAAGUAAUUUAGGAAAAUUAAAAAGCAAAAAAUAACCGAAUAUAAAAACACCCAAAAAAUGGUCUGGGGAAGUUCUAGAACCUGUCUAAACGUGAAAGGAGCUAGUUGGGCGGCCCAAGUGUACCUAGCGAGGAAGGUCGGUAGACGCUUGGUCGCUAUUUCAUGACCUACGCGCCAAAUAGGAUCUACCCGCGGCUAUGUCUCGGUUGGUAUGAGAUUGACGGCUGCCUUGCGUCAAGUGGGGCGUAUGGUGGGUCGCCGAUAGUGCUAGGUUCAUUAGUUUCAUGCGUUUUCCUCUUCAUUUAUUACCUUUGCUUACAUUGUGAAUAAAUAGUAAUCUAUAUUGCAAAUAUUUUUUUAAAUGUUCAUCCUGCAUUUAGAAGUGUCAAUGCAUUGUGAAAUGUUUAUUCGUGCAAUUUUUAGAAAAUACUCAUACUAUUCAAAAGAAAUGUCCGUGAUAUUUAUUACAAUGUGUAUACAUUGUAGAAAUCCAAUUUUUUAGAAAUAGUUUCAUACCAUUGAAAAAUAUGUUCAUAACUAUCAAAAAAGCUUUCACACGUUUGAAAUAUAUGUCCGUGACAGUUUCAGAAAGUGUUCAGGCAUUCAAAUAUAUGUUUGUGAUUUUUUCAAAAAUAUUUUUAAAAUAUAAACAAAUGUUGGCAUAGUUUAACAAAAAUGUUUCACAUCAUUCAAAAAAUGUUCAAUUUGUAUUUGAACAAAUUUUUUAUACAUAUUCAAAAAAAGCUCAAACAUGUACUCCAACAAAUGUUUAUACAAUGUAAAAAAUAUAUGCAUGUAAUUUGAAAAAAUCCAUACCAUUCAAAAAAGUGUGCAACGUGUAUUUGCAAAAUGUGUAAUAUGUAUUGAAAAAUAUUCAAUGUGAUAAAAAAAGAUACAACAUGUAUUAAAAAAUAAAUUUGGUAGAAGAAUGGAAAAAAAUGAAAAAAAAUCCAUAGAAAACCAGGAAAGUAACAAAGAAAAAUGAAAAGAAAAAAGAACCACAUGAAAGGUUUAGUAUGGAUACCAAAAUCCAUAGCACAUCAUUUGUUUAGGAUAGCCAACUAUCAGAGAACAAAAAUGCAAAAGUUGUCAAGUUUCAGUUCAGUAUGGAUACCAAAAUACAAAAAUGAUCGAGGCCGUCAAACCUAGGAACAGACCAGACACGGGUUCAUAUAUGAUUUGGAUCAAAAUAUCUCAACCAUUGCGACCGAACUGACUACACUCGACUAAUGAAAGAGCCAACACUGCUGCAUUAACUGAAGAGUUUGCAAAUUUAGUGGACCACACAUCUCUGGGAACAGCACCACGGAAUUUCAACAAACUAGUUUCUACAGGUUCUGGAUACCGGCAAAAUGGUUUAUUUGUACAAGUUUGCUUCAAAGUUACAAAUGGAAAAUCACCAUACAUAAAAAAAGGGCACCAGGGUCCUGCUGCUAUUACUUCAACUUGGCAGCUGUUAAGCACUGGGAUAUCUGUGAAGCAAAAACUAUCUGCAUCAGAAUCUGACUCUCUCUGCUCAUCACUGAAAUGAUAAAACUAUCGAUUCUCAGCUAGUUAAAAUGU
rnacentral:lncRNA from 1 species